rnacentral:rRNA from 1 species
GUGCCAGCAGUCGCGGUAAUACAUUGAGAGCUAAUAUUAUCCAGAAUAAUUGGGUUAAAAGCGUAAAAAGUGUAGGGUUAAAAUUAUACUUAGUGCCUUAAACUUAAUAGUCUUUCAAGAAUAUUAAGUUAAGUAUCUAAGAACCUAGAGAGUUAAUAGCGGGAAUAUAAAUUCUAUUUAGAGCUUAAAUGCAGUGAUAUAGAAAAGAAUAUCAGAGAUGAAGAUGAUUCCCAUGUUAACUCUGACUCACUAUUACUAAAGCUCAGAAAGUAAAAUAGAUUAGAUACCUAUGUAGCCUGAGCCGGCAACGAUGAAUGCUAAUAUAGUAUAAUAAAACAUAUCUUUAGUUAAUAUGCUAUAUAAAGUGAUAACCAAGCAUUUCACCUGAGGAGUACCUUUGCAAAAUUGAAAUUCAAGACAUUUGGUAGUAUUCUAAACUCACACUGAAGUAUGUUAUUUAAU